rnacentral:rRNA from 1 species
AGAGUUUGAUCAUGGCUCAGGAUGAACGCUAGCGGCAGGCCUAAUACAUGCAAGCUGAACGGUAAAUAUUGUAGCAAUACGAUAUGAGAGUAGCGUAAGGGUGCGUAACACGUAUGCAAUCUGCCCUGUACAGGAGGAUAGCUCGGGGAAACUCGGAUUAAUACUCCGUAAUAUUAUUGGUAGGCAUCUAUUGAUAAUUAAAGUCGCAAGACGGUAUGGGAUGAGCAUGCGUCUGAUUAGCUAGUUGGAGGUGUAACGGACCCCCAAGGCGAUGAUCAGUAGGGGAACUGAGAGGUUGAUCCCCCACACUGGCACUGAGAUACGGGCCAGACUCCUACGGGAGGCAGCAGUAGGGAAUAUUGGUCAAUGGGUGAAAGCCUGAACCAGCCAUGCCGCGUGCAGGAAGACGGCCUUCUGGGUUGUAAACUGCUUUUGCCGGGGGAUAAAAAGCCCAUGCGUGGGCCAUUGAAGGUACCCGGUGAAUAAGCCACGGCUAACUACGUGCCAGCAGCCGCGGUAAUAC